rnacentral:RNase_P_RNA from 1 species
GGAGUUGGCCAGGCAAUCGCGGCGACCUUGAGUCGUCGAGGAAAGUCCGGGCUCCGCAGGGUAGAACGCCAGGUAACGCCUGGGGGGCGCAAGCCUACGGAAAGUGCAGCAGAGAGUAGACCGCCGAUGGCUCCCCGGAGCACAGGUAAGGGUGAAAGGGUGCGGUAAGAGCGCACCGCACCGCUGGUAACAGCGCGUGGCAUGGUAAACCCCGUUCGGAGCAAGACCAAAUAGGAAUCCUACAGGUGUGACCCGCACUGGAUUCGGGUAGGUCGCUAGAGGCCUGCGGUGACGCAGGUUCGAGAUGAAUGAUUGUCCACGACAGAACCCGGCUUACAGGCUGACUCCCAUU